rnacentral:sRNA from 2 species
GGACCGGUCCGUUCAAACGCUUCGUUUGGCAGGGGCGGGGGAACCAAUUACGGCCUCACUCGAGGCCUUGGGGUCAAGUGUCCGAUCCAUGGACGCCGGGUGCCUCCCACCCGAACCCGACAGCUCACCCCGUAGACACCAGGGAGAGGUAAA